rnacentral:rRNA from 1 species
AUGUCUCAGCUUAAGCUCUUUUCACAACAGUGCUGUGCAUGGCUCAUUAUAUCAGCUACAGUUCAAUGGAUGGUUACUGUACAUGGACAUCCUUGGCAAUUCUGUGGCUAAUACAUGCUCACCAGCUCAGUCAGUGUGGGUUGUGGUCAUUUCCUUAGAAUCAAUGCAGGUGAUGCCUGUUUACAUUUUCCAAGAAGGAUGAUGGAAUGGAUUGCGAUGUUUUCACUGGUGCUGUGCCUUGAAAGUUUCUGACCUGUCAGCUUUCGACGGCAGGGUAGUGGCCUGCUGUGGCUGUGACAGGUGACGGAGGAUGAGGGUUUGACUCCGGAGAGGGAGCCUGAGAGAUGGCUACCACAUCUAAGGAAGGCAGCAGGCGCGCAAAUUGCCCAUUCCCAACAGAGGGAGGUAGUGACAAGAAAUAGCAAUACAAGGCAUCCAUGUUUUGUACUUGGAAUGAAUGGCCAGCAAACUUUGCUUUUAGAAUCAAUUGGAGGGCAAGUCUGGUGCCAGCAGCCGCGGUAAUUCCAGCUCCAAUGGUGUAUAUUGGAGUUGUUGCGGUUAAAAGGCUCGUAGUUGGAUCUUUGCUGGGGGUGUCUGGUCCGCCCU